UACGUAGGGGGCAAGCGUUAUCCGGAUUUACUGGGUGUAAAGGGGGCGCAGACGGCGAUGCAAGCCAGGAGUGAAAGCCCGGGGCCCAACCCCGGGACUGCUCUUGGAACUGCGUGGCUGGAGUGCAGGAGGGGCAGGCGGAAUUCCUGGUGUAGCGGUGAAAUGCGUAGAUAUCAGGAGGAACACCGGUGGCGUAGGCGGCCUGCUGGACUGCAACUGACGUUGAGGCUCGAGAGCGUGGGGAGCAAACAGG
rnacentral:rRNA from 1 species